UACGUAGGGUGCAAGCGUUGUCCGGAUUUAUUGGGCGUAAAGAGCUCGUAGGCGGUCUGUCGCGUCGGAUGUGAAAACCCAGGGCUCAACCCUGGGCCUGCAUUCGAUACGGGCAGACUAGAGUACGGCAGGGGAGAAUGGAAUUCCCGGUGUAGCGGUGAAAUGCGCAGAUAUCGGGAGGAACACCGGUGGCGAAGGCGGUUCUCUGGGCCUUACCUGACGCUGAGGAGCGAAAGCGUGGGGAGCGAACAGG
rnacentral:rRNA from 1 species